rnacentral:rRNA from 1 species
ACACCCGAAGUCGGUGGGGUAACCCUUACGGGAGCCAGCCGCCGAAGGUGGGACAGAUGAUUGGGGUGAAGUCGUAACAAGGUAGCCGUAUCGGAAGGUGCGGCUGGAUCACCUCCUUU